rnacentral:rRNA from 1 species
UACGUAGGGUGCGAGCGUUAAUCGGAAUUAUUGGGCGUAAAGCGCGCGCAGGCGGUCGUUUAAGUCUGGUGUUUAAGCCCGGGGCUCAACCCCGGUUCGCACUGGAAACUGGAUGACUUGAGUGCAGGAGAGGAAAGUGGAAUUCCACGUGUAGCGGUGAAAUGCGUAGAGAUGUGGAGGAACACCAGUGGCGAAGGCGACUUUCUGGACUGUAACUGACGCUGAGGCGCGAAAGCGUGGGGAGCAAACAGG